rnacentral:rRNA from 1 species
UAGGGAAUUUUCGGCAAUGGGCGAAAGCCUGACCGAGCAACGCCGCGUGAGGGAGGAAGUCCUUCGGGAUGUAAACCUCUGUUAUAAAGGAAGAACGGUAUCUGCAGGGAAUGGCAGAUAAGUGACGGUACUUUAUGAGGAAGCCACGGCUAACUACGUGCCAGCAGCCGCGGUAAUACGUAGGUGGCGAGCGUUAUCCGGAAUUAUUGGGCGUAAAGAGGGAGCAGGCUGCUGAACAGGUCUGUGGUGAAAGCCCGAAGCUAAACUUCGGUAAGCCAUGGAAACCGGACAGCUAGAGUGCGUCAGAGGAACGUGGAAUUCCAUGUGUAGCGGUGAAAUGCGUAGAUAUAUGGAGGAACACCAGUGGCGAAGGCGACGUUCUGGGGCGCAACUGACGCUCAUUCCCGAAAGCGUGGGGAGCAAAUAGGAUUAGAUACC